AAGUGAACCUGCCCAGUGAGAUAUUUAACGGCCGCAGUACCUUGACUGUGCUAAGGUAGCAUAAUAAAUUGACUUUUAAUUGAAGCCUUGUAUGAAAGGAAUAAUGGAUAAUUUCUGUCUCUAAAUAAUUAAUUUAAAGUUACUUAAAAGGUGCAAAUACCUUUAAUUUUUAAAUAGACGAGAAGACCCUAGGAGUUUAUUUAACAAAUAAUGUUUGAAAUAUUUUGUUGGGGCGACAUUACAACAGUUAAUUUAACUUGUAAAUAUUAAAAUAAACUAAACGAAAAGUUUUAAUUACGAUUAAACUACCCUAGGGAUAACAGCAUAAUUUUAUUUAAAGUUUGUGACCUCGAUGUUGGACUAGGAAUUUUUAAUGUUAGCAGCAUUAAAACAAUGUUCUGUUCGAACAAUAUUUCCUACAUGAUCUGAGUUCAAACCGGAGCUCC
rnacentral:rRNA from 1 species